AGAGCCCAAGGACGGGGGCCUACAGAGGAGGUCCAGCCCAGCUGCUGAUGUCCAGGGAGAAAACCUCUGUGAGUGAGAGGCAGAGGGGAUGCUGCCAUGAAGGACACACAGCCUGAGGAUGGGGUGGAGCUGUACAGUCGGGUGAGGCCCCUCCCCUGUCCCGGGCACGAAAGGCCUCCUGGUGCCAGAUCUAAUCCAGCAGGACUUCUCUGUCCUCCUUCCCCCAGCUCCCAGCAUUGUCAUGGUGGACCCCUCCUUGUCCAGCAUGCUGCCUCCCGCCUGCUGGGACCUCACUCUCUCCUGGUGUCCUGGGACCUCGUGGGCCUCCUCCCGGGUCCCCUUCCUGCUCCUCAUCCUCUGUUUGGCCCUCUGGUUGUUAGAGCGCUCCCCAGGCCUCAGGAAGAUGAGGAAUAAAUGAACCACCUUGGUC
rnacentral:sRNA from 1 species